GACUCAGAGAUGAUGGCGGAGGCAAGAGGACCUGUUAUUUCGUGUAGAUGCAGCAAAACCGAAGACUGUCAGGGUAUUUGCGCCGUGUGCCCAAACUAUAGCUGCAUUAAAAACAUUUGUACUUGCCUUUCAAACGCACCUCCAUUUCCAUAGUCUUAGAAUCUACACACUCCAACAGUUGAAUGAAAUGGUGGGAUUUUUUUUGUGUAAUUUGAAAUAAAUUAUCAUGCAAUGGAUCUAAUAAGAAAAAAUAUUGUAAUUAGGGUAAUUUUAAUUUUCUUUUUACCCGUCUCUGCCCCUCCCCCCCUUUCCAGUAGCGAAAAGCAUGUUACAUUUAAAAUCUAUAAAAAGAGUUACAAUCUUGUUUUAAAACUAAAAGAAAUAAUAGUAAGAAGAAAAGAUAGGAGAAAAAUUAAGACACAAAAUGAUAUGAUAAUUCUUCUUUCUACUUGUAUCUCAUAAGCUUCUAUAUGGCUUCAAUCUAUAGGGCUUCAACAAUGAUAGGCUAAAAUAAUAUAAAUAGGAAUAUCAAAACUCGCAAUAAAUUGAAUGGGUAUUUCAUAAGUUGCAAGUUCCACCGUAUUCUUUUGGUGGGGACACUUUGUUAAUUUAUCAACAACACUCUGCACUAGAUGUGUAUCAAAUGGAAACGUGCUCUGUUAAAACUUUAUUAGAAAAAAUUGCAUAAGCACCUAUUAUAAUCUAAAACUUUAAAAACAUUUUCUAGGAAAACUUAGCUGGACAAUACCUUGGGUAAAGGAAAGAGUAAACAUGUUUUAGACUCCCCCUAAUUUUAAAAAUAUUGAAACAUGGUACAAAUUUUGAAACAAUUUUUUGUUGCUAAAUACUUCGUCAAAGAGAAUCAUACUAUGAAGACAUGCCUUUUUAAUUACAAUGAUAACCAUUGAGUUUCAUUGUAUACUCUAGGUUCAUUUGCCAAUAGCUCUUUUGCACAACAUAAUAUAGGUGGGGGCGAAUCAAACUUUAAAUUAAGCGACAUUAAUACAUGCAUUAAAGCCUCCAUUAAUUUCUUAUAAGUUUAUUUUUAUAUCCACAAUCAACAUUUUUCUUAUGCGGACAUGAUACCUUGCUAUUGCAUAUCACUUAAGGAAAACUGUAUAUUAAAUUUAGCCUCAUGGCUUUGGAGAUUUCUACAUCCUAUCUCUCUUUCUUACUCCGUUGCAAGGAUGUUCAUGUAGACCACCUGAUAGAUAGUUGUAUGGUUUCUUUAUUCUUAUUGAAACACAUAUCGAGUCUUUCUUGACAUCACUGUGACUUUAAUAGUCAUUACCAAUAUGGUUUGACUCUUGCAGGUUUCGAGUACAGUGGCGUGUCAUUCGGCCCAAUUAAAGGCUAUUAUUGUUGUUUCAAUUUGAGAUCGCUCUCUUCUAGUUUUUCUUCUUCUUUUCUCAUUUUGGUUUCCUACCCUUUAUAUGCUUGUUGUAGUAUUUUUCCUUAAGUUAAUUUUGGAAAUACAUAGAAUCUAUUGAAUGGAGUGCCAUUAAUCUUAUCAACAUUAUAUCUCAUCAUCUUCUUGCUUGUUUUUAGGAUCUUUAUGGCCAUGGUUAGACAAGAGUUUAUCUAUCUUGUAACACUUAUUUUGGGACAUGCAAUGUGCACAAUUUCUAUAAGUCCUGCUCUUUUACCUGUUGUGUCAAUGAGGCCAUCUUUAGGUAUUUCCCCCUCUAUUUUGUUUCAUUAGUCAAAUUGGAUGUACAGUUAUGAACUUAAAAUCAACCAAUCACUUUUUGUGUUUUUGUAACCUCUCUUUUCAGGUCUGAUAACAUCGAUCAUGAAGUUGAGCUCCUCCGUGGAUAGCCUUGGUUGUUUGUUUCCAUUUUUUCACAAUCUCUUGCAACAAAUUUUGAGAUUUUAAUUGUAUUGAUAGUUUUAUUAGCCUUGUAGCGAGCCCAAGAUACCAACUGCUCCCACCCAUGAUUUUAAAUUUUAAAUACUUUAUUUAAAUGAUUCUGAUGUUUAGAAAUUUAAAAAAUAAACUAAUUUUCUUCUAAAUUUUAUUACUUAGCGAUCCGCUACUUGGGAGCGGAAGAACUUAAACCCUAGGCCAUACAAGACUAAGAAGUCAUCUAGGUGAGAAUUAACCCAAAAUUGGUAUUGCCUAUCCAUGAACCUCUUACCUCAAGUUGGUCUGGACUGUGAGGUCGAAAGAUAAGUACUUGUUGCCAACUCAUUAGUUUAGUGGAAGAUCGAUAGAUUCUACUAGGUUAGCGGCUAAUUGAUUGAGUAGAACCAGAAAUAGGAUUUAGUUAUGACCACAAAAGCGAGCUAAUCACUCAUGCUUAGAUUUUAUUGAAUCACAUAUUAGUUUUCCAUCUUUUUAAUUUUAUGCAAGUUUAUUUCUUUUCUUAUAAAAACAAUUGUUUUUCACUUUAUGAUCAUCGUACUAUAAUUUAUUUAAGUUACUAAUUAGAUCUAUUUGCGUUUAGGUUAAUAUUAAUUUAUUACUUGUCUGCCUUGGGUACGAUCCUCGAGUACUCACCUACUUCGUUGUAAAACUAUAUUACAACCUGACUCGUAUACUUGAGGACACCGCCUCAAUUCAAUAUAUACUUUUAGCAAUAUUCACACUCUGGAUUCUAGUACCUCCGAAGGCGGUCACUUUCCGAAGUGGCGCGUAGUUUAUCUGCAAAUCAGUGGUGGCUCGUCUACAAUCCGGAGUGAUAUGUUAGACGAGUUCUGGGGAAUUCGUACGUGAGGUGUGUAGCGGAGUCGGGUAGGACUUUUCUGUUAAUUUGAAACUUCAAUGCAUUCAUAAGCACAUGCAUAUAAAAUUGUGAAUACCAAUAUAGUGAAGUGAAGCGUUUUAUGUGAAAAACCGUUAAUCUGAGGUGCCUUGUGGUUGUCUUUAAUCUCAGGAUUGCUAAUUCAUGUGCCUUAUUGGUUUGUUGUUUUAUUCUGAUUUUCUUGUGACUGAACUCACAUUGAGCUUCAUAGCUCACUGCCCUUUAGUUCCCAUCCUUGUAGAUAACCCACCAGGUUGGGAUGCGACAUAUGGAGGGCUCGAAAAAGUUUUAAUGUUAUGAAAGUAUUGUUAUGCUUAUUUUAAAAUUUAUGUUAUUUCGGAACUGUACUGUAUUAUUUAUUUUCUAGCAUUGGAUUCAUAUUUAGGUUUUGGUUUUAUAUUGCAAGCAUGACAUAUAAAUUUUUGUUUUUAAGAUGAUGAAAUAUGGAUUUCAAUUAAAUAUGCAUGAAAUAUAGAUGUUAGUAAAACUCAGGAAAAGCCAUUUUUCCGCUGAAAGGUCAUAAUUAAAUUUUGUCUAAUAACUACAAUAUAACUAAGUUCACAAUAGUUAUCACCUUUUACAAGAAAAUAUUAGUUUAAUUGUAUUUUAUAUACCCAUGAUUUGUUUUCUAAAAAUAGACAGAGUCUUUGUAAAGAUAAAAAAUGUUUUAAUGUGACUAUUUAAAAUGUUCGAUUUCUCUAGGCCAUCAUGGUGGCCGAUGUAAUCUCCCGACCUCGAGCCUACCGUCUAGGCCAAUUUGGGGAGGUUACAAUUUCAAUGCCAUAAAGUACUAAAACCAUAUUUUCAAUCAUCUUCAGCGUAGAUUAUUUCAUGUUGAUAUGAGUUGAAUUAAAAUAUUUAACUUGAACUUAUAAAUUUGCCAUAUUUAAGGGGAAAAAAGUGGUUUUACUUCAAACAAAAAGAAGAGAUAAAUUGUUACCAACUAAAUUGAUGAACAAGAACUUGAUAUGAUAUAUACGUGAAUACAAUAAAAAUACAUUAAUUGCGCUACAAUUGUGCAUAAUAUCCUUUUUAUUUAGUUAUAUUGUGUUUGUACAAAAUUAGUAAAAAUAAAAUACUAUGCAUCAAAUAUGUUCAAUUCUAAUUCUAAUUCUAAUUCUAGUUCCAAUUUGAGUUUGAACUUGAUUUGGAACACAAAAAUUGAGCAUGAUGUCAAGAAUGGGAAUCCAACUCAAGUCUUAUCAAAUAAACAAGCCUAAUUAAAUUUAGUAAAGCUACUUAAAGCAGUUUAAUCUUUAUCUCGUAUCAAGUUUAUAUUUUAAAAGUUAAACUAAAUGAAGUUAUAUUGGAGCAUUCAAUUCUCUAGGUUUCUAUGGAGAUUGAGAUUGAAUUUUUUGGCUCUGUUAAACCCCAUUAAAUAACUUUAAAUUUUUUAUUUUGAUACAAUAGUUAAUAUUAUUUCCAAACUCAUAUAACUGGUUGUGUAGGAAGGGGUCAGGUUUUUUUGUCUGCUUUCUCUCACUACUAUCUCCAAAAUUUUAAUGCUUUUAGUAUUUUAAUAUUUGAAAAUAAUUAAAUAUAUAUAUUUGACUAACAGGAAAAAUAUAAUUUAAUCUUUUCUUCUCCUAGACCACAAAUAAAAAAAGAAUUGGAACAUAUUUCCCAUUUGUUUCUAAACAGUUGGACAAAUAAUCAACUUAUUGGCAUCAUGCAUUCCAGAUUUGGUAACAUUAAUUUCCAUGACUACACUUAGAACAAAAUAAUGAUAAUUAGUAAACAAAAUCCUCAUAAAUCUUCUCAAGGAUGUUUUUCUGGUUUACUUUCCUUUUAGACAUAGUUUCAUAAGGAAAAAAAUAAAAACGUAAUAAUCUCAAAGAAUCCAAAGAAAUUAGUAUUCCUCCAUGCAACACAAAAUAAGAUACUAUAUAUAUUAAAUCCAUAAGCUAUAAAUUUCCACCAACAUUGUUAAUUAGAUAUAAAGAGAUGGCAAAGUUUUCAUUCAAUUUGUGUAUAUUUGCUGCCAUCUUAAUCUUUGCAACUCGUUAGUUUCUUCCUAUGCAGCUCUUUUAUUUCCUUUGGUAUGAAUAUUAUGUUUUUGUUUAAUUUAACACAAGGGAAUUUUUGUUGCAGACUCAGAGAUGAUGGCGGAGGCUAGAGGACCUGUUAUUUCGUGUAGAUGUAGCAAAACCGAAGACUGUCAGGGUAUUUGCACCGUGUGCCCCAACUAUAGCUGCAUUAAUAACCUUUGUACUUGCCUUUCAAACACACCUCCAUUUCCAUAGUCUUAGAAUCUACACACUCCAACAGUUGAAUGAAAUGGUGGGAUUUUUUUGUGUAAUUUGAAAUAAAUUAUCAUGCAAUGGAUCUAAUAAGAAAAAAUAUUGUAAUUAUUGUAAUUUUAAUUUUCUUUUUACCCUUCUCUACCCCUCCCCCCCUUCUAGUAGCGAAAAGUAUGUUACAUUUCAAAUAUAUAAAAAGAGUUACAAUCUUGUUUUAAA
rnacentral:lncRNA from 1 species